UUAGAAAAUUCUAUUGUUUAGGUCUCAACCUAACAAACACCACACUAAAACAAGGCGUAGGGAUGACUUCAGUCAAGAUUACUCUUGCAGCGCUGGUUCUUGCUUUAAUAGCUUGCAAUGGGCUUGGAUUCAUGGGUAUACCAAGAAUGCUGGGCAAUGGUGAAUGUCAUCUAGAUGUUGAAUGCAUCUCAAUUUUACCUUACUGUAAAGAAAAAACUAUUUGCAAUAACGGCAUUUGCAUAUGUGACCAGACUAAAGCAAGCCUAAAAUCUGGAUGUAAAACCAAUGCUGAUUGCGCAAUCUUUAUUUGUGAUCCACCUUACGUUAAACCGUAUUGUGACAUAAAACAUGGUGUAUGCAAAUGUUCGCGUUAGAAUGAUCGAGAUUUGAGAGUAGAUCAAUAAAAUGUGUAAUUAGGAAUGA